GGAGAAAGACAGGGGGCCUUUAGCCUUGGGAGGUCGGGAUCCCAGUCACGGCCCCAUGCCAGCUUUAUCACGCGUCACUGACCAAGCCCCUGAGCCAGAGGACACAAUCAGCCUCAAGGACGGAGAUCGAAGCAAACGUGUGCCCACCACACAUGCAGGCAGAGCGCUGGGCCUGCAGGCAGAGAAAAGCACCCUCAAAUGCCAGCUCACCAAGUGUUAAUGCUGCGACAGCCCCUCUGUGCCUCAGUUCCCCCAUCUGUAAAAUGGGGCAAUAACAGUGCCUCCCUCGCACAGUUGUGAGGGUUAAAUGAGUUCAUCAACACCGUGUGGAGAACUGAGCCCUCAAACAACGUCACCUUUGUUCUAACUCUUGAACAUUUAGAUUGUUUCCAAUCUUUUGUCAUUGUAAAUUGCGCUGUGAGGGUCUGCCGAGACCAGGCCCAUUAAGAGCAUUAUUUCACUUAAAGAAGGCUCGUCCCCCAAGUCGGUCAGAUGAGGCAAGUGCAGAAUGAGGCCCAGGUGAGGCCCAGGGUUGCACAGGUGGCUGGGAUCCAAGCGUGGCGCGCUAGAAUCUCCCAGGAGCUCACAUGUGUGGAACACCUGCCGACAAGGAGUCCACAGCCACCUCCCCAUCCUCACCACCAACAGAGCCAGAGGAUGGCUCAUUGCAGUGGCAGGCAGGGAAGACCCCUCCCGGUGGCCAGGCACCCUGGACAGAGACUGCCCGUGUGACAGUCCCAGAGAAGGGAGAGAAAGUGGAGCCUGCUGAAGCCACCCCUACCACGCAGAAUCAUCACAGCCCCGGUCACUGAGCUCCGUGCUAAGCACCUUGCAGCACGUACGCAUUUUGCCUCACAUCGACUCUGUGAAGUGCGGGCUACUGAUGCGUCCGUGAGGAACCAGGGAAAUGACUUGCCAGGGCCACCCAGCCAAGAAGCAGCAGAGCCGGGAGUCAAAGCCAGGACUGGGCCCCAAACCCUAGCUCACAGCCACCAUGUCACACUUCCUCAGGCGCACUGUCCCUGGGCGUGGCAGCACCCUCCCGUGGUCUGGCACAGCUGCCCAGCUUCUCACGCCCAGAACGCGGGCUUCCCUUUUCCUCCCUGUGCUCAGAGGGGUUUUGCUCGCCUGGGCUGAGCUCUCUCCAGCCCGCUUCAGUUCCCACUUGUGUCAGGAGGCCCAGGACCCUCAUAAAGCAAUGCCCUGUGCUAUAGACUGAAUGUCUAUGUUCCCCCAAAAUGCGCUGGAACCUAACCCCCAAGGCAAUGGUGUUUUGAGGCAGAGCCCUCAUGAACGGGGAUAGUGCCCUUAUAAGAGACCCCAGAGAGCUCCCUCACCCCUCCUGCCACGUGAGGGCACAGUGAGAAGACAGCUAUCUAUGAACUAGGAAGUGGACACUCAUCGGACACUGACCCUAACAGCACCUUGAGCUCUGAUUUCCCAACCUCCAGAACGGUAAGAAAUAAGCGUCUGUUUUUUAUUUCUUAGCCCCCCAGUAUUGUGUCAUAGCCCAGGACUGAGGCCCAGGCUGGACCCGUGGAACUGCUGAGGUUGCGGCCAUCUGAGAGCGUCGGGGAGGGAAAGGAAGCGAGUCAGCUGCUUCUCUUAGGAAGCUCUAGGCUCUCAGCCCUAACGUGACUACCCGCGGGCAGAGGCCCCGAGCUGGAGGCAAGGGUGCCCCAGGUCACCGCCUGCCUGGUUCACUGCAGUAUCUCCAAGGGCCCGGCAAGGGUGGCUGGAAGCCUCUGCUUGCACCUUGGGGACCCACCUUGAUGACUUUCAGCACAGCUGAUGUUGGAAUCGUUUACCUGAUGUCCUGCCACCAGCACCUGCAAGGCCACCCCAGGGGAUCAUACAGUUCAGAGGAAGUGCACCAAGGCUCUGAGCCCAGUGCCUGACGCGACGCAACGCACCGCAUCGUAGUGACUGUUUUGAGGAGAGACCAGUAUCUCAACCACUUUGAGGCUGCGCGCUCACUCUCUCUCAUCACCAGGUCUUCAGAUACUCCUCAGGCCUCCAGGCUUCUGCGCGUGCUGUCUCUUCCCCGGGAGUGUCCUUCUUCCCCUGCAGGGCCUGGGAAAGAGACACUGCGGCCCAGGCUAACCUGCUCUCUCAAAGAGGCCUGGCAAGAGCUGACUGGACAACACCUGUCGUCUCUUGCCCUCCCCUUGUCCACACACCUGAAGAAUCCUCAGCGACCACUUUAAACGCACUCCUCUGCCCCGCCCUAGCUGUAAGCUUAUUCUCAGGGCCUAGACACACCAGCUGCACAGAGAAAGACAGGAAAGGGGAAAGAAAGAGCGAGACAGAGAGAAAGGAAGGGAGGGAGGGAGAAAGACGUAACUGUGAGCUCGAAGGGCCUCGGCUUGAAGAGAAAACCCUGUGGAACCGCCCUGCCCAGGCCUCCUAGGACAGAACUCCGGGGCAAGAGAUUGAGCCUCUCCAAUCUGUACAGCGGGGGAAUAAGGCAAGCGUCCACCUCCUAGGCUGACCGCAGAGUUAAACGGGAGAAACCCACCAAGCGAUGAGAAGGGCACCUGGCACAGGUUAGCACUCACUCAGCAGUAACAGCCGGGAUGGCUAUUAUUCUGUCCUGGCUGUACCCCACCUUCUCCGCUCCCCCCCCCCGGGGGUCCCUGGCACACAGCAGCCUUCACUAAGUGUUGAAUGGGCAAGACCCGUGCCAGUCCUCACACGUCCAAACGCAGACUUUCUAUGUACACACUUGGAAACCCGUCCUCGGCACGGCGUGGGGAGGGGGCAGUCGGCGCUCCCUGCAGACCCGGGGAGUACACGGAGGGGAGGGGCGUCCGGCUUGGGGACACGGCCCACUCCAGGUCUCUGGGUCCUGGGUCACAACUCCCUCCUGGUGACUCAGCCCAGCGCGGGCUGCUUGUUUGGCGGGGAUAAUGACAGGGCAGCCGCUGGGGACAGUGGCCGCGAGGCCCCCUCCCCUGGCCCGGCCUGGGGAAAACAAAGUCGUCAGAAGCGAAGGGGCCCGUCGGCAGGGACUAGGAGGUGAAAGGGGACCCAGACCCCAACCCCUAGGCAGGCUGGUCCGAGAGGCCAUGCUAGUUGCCCCCGAGGAGUCACCCAAUCCCGGCCCAGAGCCGCGUCCCAGGAUCUCGCGCCCCAAGGACGGGACAGGAGCCCCAAGACCGCGCAGGGGCUGCAGGAGGGUUUGGAAAGAUGCAGCAGGAAAGCCCCAGAGUCCCGACCCGCGGCCUUCGCGUUGGCCCCCAGCCUCUAUCCC